rnacentral:rRNA from 1 species
CCUACGGGUGGCAGCAGUAGGGAAUAUUCCUCAAUGGGGGAAACCCUGAAGCAGCAACGCCGCGUGGAUGAUGAAGGUUUUCGGAUUGUAAAGUCCUGUUGUUAGAGAAGAACAUAACGGUAACUAACGAAUAAGCACCUGCUAACUCCGUGCCAGCAGCCGCGGUCAUACGGAGGGUGCAAGCGUUAUUCGGAAUCACUGGGCGUAACGUGCGCGUAGGCGGGAUUGCAAGUCUUAUGUGAAAUCCUAUGGCUUAACCAUGGAACUGCAUUGGAAACUGUAAUUCUAGAGUAUAGGAGAGGUAAGUGGAAUUCCAUGUGUAGGGGUAAAAUGCGUAGAGAUCAAGAGGAAUAC